rnacentral:lncRNA from 1 species
CUGCCCGGGCUGCGGGGGCCGGCGGGCUGGCGUAAAAGCGUGCGCUUCCCCCCGCGCCGAAGGGCAGGUGGCGGCGACCCGCCAUGGAGAAGGCGGCGGCCGCGGAGCUCCGGCAGGGCGCGCUGGUGCCGCUCACCGCCAUCUGCCUGGUGAAUCUCUUUCUGACUGGGAAAACAGAAAGUGCUGUUACCUCAUUAGGUAAGAUAUACUUUUCUUAUUUGUAUUUGUUGGUUUUUUGGAGUUGUUACUGUUUCUUUGCUGUUUGAAGACUUGUUUAAGUAAAGCGGUAUGACCUUUGAGAAAGGGUAACAAUGACAUUUUAGGAAGCUUAGAACUUUUAAAUCUUGUUGGAAUGGUUAUUGGACUCCGGCAGUGUCGCUGUGCUGGAAAAAAAUCUUAAGCUUGAGGCUAAGGUCACAGUAUGUGCUGAUAUGUUUGGGGGACAGUCUGUGUAUAGGAGAUGUGCCUGGGAAUAUCAAGCUGGGGGCAGAGGCCCAUUCCCAGAGGAGCUAAAACCAGAAUGUUAAGAACAUCUUGUGAGUCUUAGAGUGGAAAUUCAAUCAGAGUCCUGGCACUUAGUGUAAUUUCCUUCUCUGUAGUAGUGCUGUGGCUUGCUGAUGUUACUGGAGCAGUAUAAUCAGACUCCUCUUAGUGAUAAGGGUCCUCUUGUGCCUUUCAAUCCACAGUCACGUUGGUAGGCAUACUUUACGCGUAAAGAGGUUACAACUUAAAUUAAAACAUCAUAACCAAAUAUGGGAAGCAGGAGAAAAGGAAAUGAGAAAACACAAAAAUAAUUCUAAGGCAGCGGCUUGAUUAAUGUGGGAGUUUGAGUAUUCAAAUCAACAUGGAGUUUUGAGAGAAUGUUUAAAUUGGGAAAAGUGGUAAUUGUAUGAUUAGGUGACUUCCUUAAGCUUAGUUUAGAGCAGCUUGGAUGACCACAUAGGGUGUGUGUUUUUUGCAACACUAAAUUUCCAUUCUUCUAUUAGAAAAAUUCCAGAGUGUGAUCUGUGUCUUGAUCUGUUCUGCCUGGAUUGUUCUUUGCUUCUGAUGGAGUUUGGUAUCCCCUGGCUUUAUGGUAUUUUAGUUUACGAAGCGUAACUUGAGUAAUUGUACAGUGGCUGGCCUAGAUUGGUACCACUACCUCAGCCUGAAAUAUGUAACACUUCUUCAAGCUGGCUCUGCUCCUUUCUAAUGCUGUCCUUUUGCUAGAAACAGGGUUGUAACAUUGCACUUUUACUCUUUCGAGUGUGUGGAAAACCUUACAGU